rnacentral:rRNA from 1 species
GACGAACCGUGCGAACGUUAUUCGGAAUCACUGGGCUUAAAGGGCGCGUAGACGGGCGACCGCGUCGAUGGCUGAAAGCCCCCGGCUCAACCGGGGAACGGGCCUCGAUACGGGUCGCCUUGAGUGGAGGAGGGGGACCUGGAACUGCCGGUGGAGCGGUGAAAUGCGUUGAGAUCGGCAGGAACGCCUGUGGCGAAAGCGAGGUCCUGGACUCCUACUGACGUUGAGGCGCGAAAGCCAGGGGAGCGAACGGG